UACGUAGGGUGCAAGCGUUGUCCGGAAUUAUUGGGCGUAAAGAGCUCGUAGGCGGUCUGUCGCGUCGGCUGUGAAAACCCGGAGCUCAACUCCGGGCCUGCAGUCGAUACGGGCAAACUGGAGUGUUGCAGGGGAGACUGGAAUUCCUGGUGUAGCGGUGAAAUGCGCAGAUAUCAGGAGGAACACCGGUGGCGAAGGCGGAUCUCUGGGCCUUACCUGACGCUCAGGUGCGAAAGCUAGGGGAGCGAACAGG
rnacentral:rRNA from 1 species